rnacentral:rRNA from 1 species
GACGUAGGGCGCGAGCGUUGUCCGGAUUUAUUGGGCGUAAAGAGCUCGUAGGCGGCUUGUUGCGUCGACUGUGAAAACCCGCGGCUUAACCGCGGGCUUGCAGUUGAUACGGGCAGGCUAGAGUUCGGUAGGGGAGACUGGAAUUCCUGGUGUAGCGGUGAAAUGCGCAGAUAUCAGGAGGAACACCGGUGGCGAAGGCGGGUCUCUGGGCCGAUACUGACGCUGAGGCGCGAAAGCGUGGGGAGCGAACAGG